rnacentral:rRNA from 1 species
AGGUUAAGUUAACAAGGGCGCAUGGUGAAUGCCUUGGCACUAGGAGCCGAUGAAGGACGGGACUAACACCGAUAUGCUUCGGGGAGCUGUACGUAAGCUAUGAUCCGGAGAUUUCCGAAUGGGGCAACCCAGCAGUUUUAAUCAACUGUUACCACUAGAUGAAUUCAUAGUCUAGUUGGAGGUAAACGCUGUGAACUGAAACAUCUCAUUAGCAGCAGGAAUAUAAAGAAAUUUCGAUUCCCUAAGUAGCGGCGAGCGAACGGGGAACAGCCCAAACCAAAGUGCUUGCACUUUGGGGUUGUAGGACUGAACAUUUGAGUUACCAAAGAACUUGAUAGUCGAAGGAUUUGGGAAAAUCCGCCAUAGAUGGUGAUAGCCCAGUAGAUUAAAUCAAAUUCUCUCAGUUCAGGAUCCUGAGUACGGCGGAACACGUGAAAUUCCGUCGGAAUCCGGGAGGACCAUCUCCCAAGGCUAAAUACUACCUAGUGACCGAUAGUGAACCAGUACCGUGAGGGAAAGGUGAAAAGCACCCCGGGAGGGGAGUGAAAUAGUUCCUGAAACCAUGUGCCUACAAUAAGUCAGAGCGCGUUAAUGCGUGAUGGCGUGCCUUUUGUAGAAUGAACCGGCGAGUUAUGAUCCCGUGCAAGGUUAAGACUAAAAAGUCGGAGCCGUAGCGAAAGCGAGUCUGAAAUGGGCGUUUUGAGUACGAGGUUAUAGACCCGAAACCAGGUGACCUAUCCAUGUCCAGGUUGAAGGUGCGGUAAAACGCACUGGAGGACCGAACCCGUGUAAGUUGAAAAUUGCUGGGAUGAGGUGUGGAUAGCGGUGAAAUUCCAAACGAACUUGGAGAUAGCUGGUUCUCUCCGAAAUAGCUUUAGGGCUAGCCUCGGAAUUAGGAUCAUGGAGGUAGAGCACUAUUUGGACUAGGGGCCCGUCUUGGGUUACUGAAUUCAGAUAAACUCCGAAUGCCAUUGAUUCAUAUCCGGGAGUCAGACGAUGAGUGAUAAGAUCCACCGUCGAAAGGGGAACAGCCCAGACCAUCAGUUAAGGUCCCUAAAUGUAUGCUAAGUGGAAAAGGAUGUGGAGUUGCAUAGACAACUAGGAUGUUGGCUCAGAAGCAGCCACCAUUUAAAGAGUGCGUAAUAGCUCACUAGUCGAGUGAUCCUGCGCCGAAAAUGUACCGGGGCUAAGCAUACUACCGAAACCAUGGAUGCGACUAUUAGGUCGCGUGAUAGGAGAGCGUUCUAAGGGCGGUGAAGCAAGAUCGUGAGGACUUGUGGAGCGCUUAGAAGUGAGAAUGCCGGUAUGAGUAGCGAAAGAUAGGUGAGAAUCCUAUCCACCGAAUGACUAAGGUUUCCUGGGGAAGGCUCGUCCUCCCAGGGUUAGUCGGGACCUAAGUCGAGGCCGAGAGGCGUAGACGAUGGAUAACAGGUUGAGAUUCCUGUACUAGUUAAGUGCGUUUGAGCAAUGGAGGGACGCAGGAGGCUAAGAUGUGCAUUCUGUUGGAUUAGAAUGUCCAAGCAGUAAGUCUUGUGAAGAGUCAAAUGCUUUUCACUUUAAGGACAAGCUGUGAUGGGGAGCGAAAUUUAGUAGCGAAGCGUCUGAUGUCACACUGCCGAGAAAAGCUUCUAGUGAGUACUUAACUACCCGUACCGCAAACCGACACAGGUAGUCGAGGAGAGAAUCCUAAGGUGAGCGAGUGAACUCUCGUUAAGGAACUCGGCAAAAUGACCCCGUAACUUCGGGAGAAGGGGUGCUGAUCGCAAGAUCAGCCGCAGUGAAUAGGCCCAGGCGACUGUUUAUCAAAAACACAGGUCUCUGCAAAAUCGUAAGAUGACGUAUAGGGGCUGACGCCUGCCCGGUGCUGGAAGGUUAAAAGGAUGGGUUAGCUUCGGCGAAGCUCAGAAUUGAAGCCCCAGUAAACGGCGGCCGUAACUAUAACGGUCCUAAGGUAGCGAAAUUCCUUGUCGGGUAAGUUCCGACCCGCACGAAAGGCGUAACGAUCUGGGCACUGUCUCAACGAGAGACUCGGUGAAAUUAUAUUGUCCGUGAAGAUGCGGACUACCCGCGACAGGACGGAAAGACCCCAUGGAGCUUUACUGUAGCUUGAUAUUGAGUGUUUGUACAGCUUGUACAGGAUAGGUAGGAGCCAUAGAAACCGGAACGCUAGUUUCGGUGGAGGCGUUGGUGGGAUACUACCCUCGCUGUAUGACCACUCUAACCCGCACCACUAAUCGUGGUGGGAGACAGUGUCAGGUGGGCAGUUUGACUGGGGCGGUCGCCUCCUAAAAAGUAACGGAGGCGCCCAAAGGUUCCCUCAGAAUGGUUGGAAAUCAUUCGCAGAGUGUAAAGGCACAAGGGAGCUUGACUGCGAGACAGACAGGUCGAGCAGGGACGAAAGUCGGGCUUAGUGAUCCGGUGGUACCGUAUGGAAGGGCCAUCGCUCAACGGAUAAAAGCUACCCUGGGGAUAACAGGCUUAUCUCCCCCAAGAGUCCACAUCGACGGGGAGGUUUGGCACCUCGAUGUCGGCUCAUCGCAUCCUGGGGCUGUAGUCGGUCCCAAGGGUUGGGCUGUUCGCCCAUUAAAGCGGUACGCGAGCUGGGUUCAGAACGUCGUGAGACAGUUCGGUCCCUAUCCGUCGCGGGCGUAGGAAAUUUGAGAGGACCUGUCCUUAGUACGAGAGGACCGGGAUGGACAUACCUCUGGUGUACCAGUUGUGCCGCCAGGCGCAUCGCUGGGUAGCUACGUAUGGAUGUGAUAAACGCUGAAAGCAUCUAAGUGUGAAACACACCUCGAGAUGAGAUUUCCCAUUCCUUUAUGGAAGUAAGACCCCUGAAAGAUGAUCAGGUAGAUAGGUUAGAAGUGGCAGUGCGGUGACGCAUGAAGCGGACUAAUACUAAUCGGUCGAGGACUUAACCAAG